UGGGGAAUAUUGCGCAAUGGGCGAAAGCCUGACGCAGCGACGCCGCGUGAGGGAUGAAGGUUUUCGGAUCGUAAACCUCUGUCAGAAGGGAAGAAACCGCACUGUGCUAAUCAGCAGUGCCUUGACGGUACCUUCAAAGGAAGCACCGGCUAACUCCAUGCCAGCAGCCGCGGUAAUACGGAGGGUGCAAGCGUUAAUCGGAAUUACUGGGCGUAAAGCGCACGUAGGCUGCUUUGUAAGUCAGGGGUGAAAUCCCACGGCUCAACCGUGGAACUGCCUUUGAUACUGCUUAGCUUGAAUCCGGGAGAGGGUGGCGGAAUUCCAGGUGUAGGAGUGAAAUCCGUAGAUAUCUGGAGGAACAUCAGUGGCGAAGGCGGCCACCUGGACCGGUAUUGACGCUGAGGUGCGAAAGCGUGGGGAGCAAACAGG
rnacentral:rRNA from 1 species